UACGGAGGGUGCGAGCGUUGUCCGGAAUCACUGGGCGUAAAGGGCGCGUAGGUGGCCCGUCAAGCGCGCGGUGAAAGCCCGGGGCUCAACCCCGGGUCGGCCGUGCGGACUGGCGGGCUCGAGCACUGUAGGGGCGGGUGGAAUUCCGGGUGUAGCGGUGGAAUGCGUAGAGAUCCGGAAGAACACCGGUGGCGAAGGCGGCCCGCUGGGCAGGAAGGCUCGCAAGAGCCGGCUGACACUGAGGCGCGACAGCGUGGGGGAGCAAACAGG
rnacentral:rRNA from 1 species